rnacentral:tRNA from 1 species
GGCGCUGUGGCUUAGUAAUUGGUAAAGCGCCUGUCUAGUAAACAGGAGAUCCCCGGUUCAAAUCCGGGCAGUGCCU